rnacentral:rRNA from 1 species
CCAGACUCCUACGGAGGCAGCAGUGGGGAAUCUUCCGCAAUGGACGAAAGUCUGACGGAGCAACGCCGCGUGAGUGAUGACGGCCUUCGGGUUGUAAAGCUCUGUUAAUCGGGACGAAAGGCCUUCUUGCGAAUAGUGAGAAGGAUUGACGGUACCGGAAUAGAAAGCCACGGCUAACUACGUGCCAGCAGCCGCGGUAAUACGUAGGUGGCAAGCGUUGUCCGGAAUUAUUGGGCGUAAAGCGCGCGCAGGCGGAUAGGUCAGUCUGUCUUAAAAGUUCGGGGCUUAACCCCGUGAUGGGAUGGAAACUGCCAAUCUAGAGUAUCGGAGAGGAAAGUGGAAUUCCUAGUGUAGCGGUGAAAUGCGUAGAUAUUAGGAAGAACACCAGUGGCGAAGGCGACUUUCUGGACGAAAACUGACGCUGAGGCGCGAAAGCCAGGGGAGCGAACGGGAUUAGAUACCCCGGUAGUCCUGGCCGUAAACGAUGGGUACUAGGUGUAGGAGGUAUCGACCCCUUCUGUGCCGGAGUUAACGCAAUAAGUACCCCGCCUGGGGAGUACGACCGCAAGGUUGAAACUCAAAGGAAUUGACGGGGGCCCGCACAAGAA